GGAGGCUGAUCCAGCCAUGCCGCGUGCAGGAAGAAUGCCCUAUGGGUAGUAAACUGCUUUUAUACGGGAAGAAAAAGGGCCACGUGUGCCCUGUUGACGGUACCGUAAGAAUAAGGACCGGCUAACUCCGUGCCAGCAGCCGCGGUAAUACGGAGGGUCCGAGCGUUAUCCGGAAUUAUUGGGUUUAAAGGGUCCGUAGGCGGGCCGUUAAGUCAGGGGUGAAAGUCUGCAGCUCAACUGUAGAACUGCCUUUGAUACUGAACGUCUUGAGUUAUGGUGAAGUUGGCGGAAUAUGUAGUGUAGCGGUGAAAUGCAUAGAUAUUACAUAGAACACCGAUUGCGAAGGCAGA
rnacentral:rRNA from 1 species